AGAAGAAGAAACUAUCAAGUACUAUUCCCAAGUUCUCCACUCUGAUUAAUUGGUAUACUGUGAUCUUCUUUUAUCUCUGGGUUUUGAUUGCUUUGAGUUUAGGGUUCUCUUGUAUGUAUUAUGAGGAUUUAGUGGCUUGAGCUUUAGGAGACCUUUUCCAUAUAUAGCUACUAUAUAUCAUCUGUAGAUACAACAGAGAAUCUGAUUUGUAUUCACAUGAAUAAAGCUUUACUGCUCCAUAAGGUUUGGUUUGGAGAAUUGGGUAUGGGACAAAAGGCAUGAUUGCUGUGCUCAAUGUGGUGUGUUCUGAAUAAAUUUUCUAUUAAUCAUGUUGCCAUAAAUCACAAUGCCUCUGUGCCGGACUUCUUUCGAGGAAGGAAUUGGAAUAUGAAUAAACUCAACUGAUUGUUAUUAGUAUUCUGUGUACAUCUAUUGCUUUAGGUUGGGGAAGCUCCUCUUCUGGUAUUUUUUUCUUUUUCCUGUCAAAACUUGAAGCUGCUUAUUCUAUGCUUUGUGAUGAGCAAGGAUAUCCUGAUUAUGCUUCAAAAGAAAUUUGGUCCUUACCUAUCCCUUUCAAUGAUCAAAGUUUUCUUGUGCCACCUUGUUCAAGUUAAGUUAGAUACAAAUGAACAGAGAUUUCGUAUGUAUCUCACUAAUAACUCUUCUUGUCAUUAUUGUGCUGGGAAUCAAGAAAGCAUGUGCUUCUUCUUUUAGGGAUUGCAUUCAGGAAAAACAGUUCUUUAAUCUUCGUACUACUAUCUCUACCACCUUUACUUUGGGAUGGAAUGAUUUGCUCGAUGCUAAUUUGAGGCAUAGAGGAUGAUGCUAAAGGAAAAUUUGCAUUAGAAUGUUAUCUUCAGUUUUCAUUACUGGUUCAUAUGGGAAUGGAGAUGCAAAGGGAUAUUUGAUUCAAAUUUGUGUCUUCAUUAUAAUAUCUCUGCAGGAAACUAUAUAUAAUUAUGCUGAUGAGUGGUACAAUGCUAAGUGCCGGCCUAUUGCUCAUUGAAAUUUCCGGGUUGAAAUGAUUUCUUGGUGGAAACCUGGCCUUGUUAAGUUUAAGCUCAAUGUUGAUGGGUCAAGACCUAAUGAUGGUUUAAUUGGAGCAGGAGGAGUGAUUAGAGAUGAUACUUGUAGGUGGGAUAAUGGGUUCAUUGUUAAUACUGGUGUUGAGGAAGUGUUGCAAGCUAAACCUUGGAUGUCUUCUAUGGCUUACAGUUGGCAACUGCCCUGCAUAUUGAAAAUCUCAUUGUGGGAAUCAGACUCUGCUGUCUUGGUUAACCUAUUACAAUGUGAUGAUUUUGAGUUUCACCACUUUUGGUACUUUGCUCAAGAACCGCAAAUACUUCUUGAUCACUUUGAUUUUAUUCAAGUCAAGCACAUUCAGAGGGAGGCAAAUAUGGUUGCUGAUAUUCUUGAGAAAGAAAGUACCGUGGAUGUUGUGGAAUACAAGCUAUUACUAUGAUGGUAACUUGUAAUGGAAGUCAACCUUGGAUGUUAGCUGGCAUUGAUGCCAUUCCUUGCAACACUGUCAGAACCAGCUUAUGGAAUUAUCUGGAUACUUUUACUAAUGCAGCUAAUAUCUCAUGGCUUUUAGUGGCUGAUUUUAAUGAAUUGUUGUCUUACUCUGAUAAAAUUGGAGGCUCUGGUGUUUAUCGUUUCGAUGGGAUGAAGAAAUGCGUGGUGGAUAUGGGUUAUCUAGGGGCAGAACAACAGAGUGAAAGAGAGAUUAGAUCGUAGUUUAUGCAAUCGGUGAUUGGCAGCUGCUAUUUCCUGAUGCAUGUCUUGCUCACCUUGCGAGAAUGAGGCCUGAUCACUGCCUUAACCUGAUUCUAGGAAUACGAGAACUAAUACCCCAUUCAUAUUUCAAGGCAUGUGGAUGGAGCAUGGGAAGUUUUAAGGAUUUUAUACUCUCAAGAUCCAUUUAACAGAUGAUUAGUACAAUGCUUCCAAAAAGUGGAGCUACAAGGAACUUGUCAUCAAUACUAAAACAAACUGGUUCUUCCUAUUGUACAAUGCGCGCACGUGGAAGAUUUUGAUUACUACUGGUAGCAAAAUGUGAAAAGAAUGUGUCAAUUUCUCGAUAUUUCUGCAUCAAGCAUCCAGACCAUAGAAGAGUCUGAGGGCUCAUCCAAUUCAUGUGCCUUAGCCCUGUUACCAGCCAAUCCCUCUGUUCAUGCAGUUGCUACUGAACAGGUUUGACAAAGAAUUACUGGGCACGUACUUGGUUCUAUUGAACAAGAUGGAUCCUCAGAAGAAUAGUAAUAUCCGAAAGCUAACAAUCUGGGAGAUCAUACCAUUAAGAAAGAGGUAGCAAAGUCAGAGAGAAAAGAAAUCGGACAGGCCUUGAAAUAUGAUAGGAAUAGGUUGAGCUAUCUGUUACAUAUCGAUCACGAUUGUUGUAAAUGAUCUGAGAUUGCGAAGGAUACAUGAAACGAUUUAGUUCACUGGUACUUGGUGGUGACUCUUUUCACAUGCUAAGAAGCAUAUAUAUUAUUUGAGGUGUCCUGAAGUCUAACAGGAAUGCAGUUCAAAGACAAGACUAAUAGUCAAAGGGAAUGGAGGGGCUCUGGUUUUCUGAUUGUGUGAACCUAGUUUCAGCAACUAAUAAGCUCAGCCAGGACAAUUUUAUCGGGAUCUGAUAACCUUUCUCAAGAAUCGAUCGGAUAGGAGUUGUCCCAACCUAUCUCACCAUGUAGUCAACCUAUAUAUGCUCGAAUUGGUGAACUCCAUAUUCCAAAUUUUCUGGAGCCACUGCAGAUGGUCAAUGAUACUCUUCUAAAUCCCUGUAAGUCGAUCCCACAGACAAAUGGAUCUUUAGUCUAAGAAAGAAGCAACAGAUUCAGCAGCAGCGGAAGAACAAAAAUAUUAGAACUGUGAGCACUAUAGAUUUAGCAUUGUAUGAGUAUCAUUCUUUUUUUUUUUUUUUGGAAAGCGGGUAAAGCACCCGUUAGGUUGGAGUGGUGGUGCUCCUUCCAAAACUUGCAUUAUUCAUAGAAGGAAAGUACAACGACCAUCCUCGAGUAUCAUUUUGCUUAUCUUCUGUGUUUUUUUUUUUUUUUUUGGUAAGUUCUCUAAUUGAAUGACUUUGCAGGUAGUGCAUAAAACAGUGUGCAUUCGAAGGUUCUACUCACUCCUAGAUUCAUCAAAAGUUUACUUUUUAUUUAUUUGAUAUUCUUUUAUAAAAGUAGGCAGGUAAUUGAUUCAUGUAUGACUUUACGUUAAUGACAAAGCUUAAAAGAAUAGGCUUUACGCAUAUGUAGUUCGAUUUUUGUUGAUGCUAUUUUUUACUUGCAUGUCUUUAAUCAUAUGGAAUAACUAAAUGCAUUGCAAAUGAACCAAUAGGUAUUAGCAUCAGUAUUGGCUCAUUUCCAGGCAAUGAGGCUAUGAUUGCCAAACUAUCAGUAGGGAUACUAAUCUCAGAUUGUGAAUUAGCAGCCUUUCUUGCCAGUUGAUUAGAUAUAUAUGUUGUGUUUAAUUAACAAUGUGAAAAACUGAAUCUGUAGGCGUUCUGUUAAACAAAAAGAAAGUGCAAUUUCUAAUGGAAUAGGUGACGAAGUGACUUUGCAGCCCAAUGACCUCCGAAAGUUUUUUUUUUUUUUUUUUUUAUGUUUUUUGGAUGACCAAUGACCUCCGAAAGUUGAGAAACAUAUAUAUGUUCCGGAAAGUUGAGUUAUUUAAUACUACUCUUUUGUCACAUCAUAUAAUGUUCUAUUUGUUUAAGGAUGUUGUAUUCUAAUGUGCCUCUUCAAA